rnacentral:misc_RNA from 1 species
AUCCAACCCAAGUCAAUCCAGCGCAAUCUAAGCUAACCUAACCUAACCUAACCUAACCAAACCUUUAAGUAGAUUAAUAGCAUCACCAUACGAAUAUAGAGUGUGUACAUCAUUGAAUACAAAAUGUAAAUGUUUCCUCAACUGCUGUUUAGAUAUGUAAUAACGGAACUCCUACAAAGUGAUCUACAUAAAAUAAUUGUCUCGCACCAGCCCCUCUCACCUGACCACAUAAAAGUCUUCUUGUACCAAAUUCUUCGAGGUUUGAAAUAUUUACAUUCUGCGCGGAUUUUGCAUCGAGAUAUCAAACCUGGAAAUUUGCUUGUAAAUAGUAACUGUGUUCUCAAGAUCUGUGAUUUCGGUUUAGCACGUGUAGAAGAGCCUGAUUCGAGCAAGCACAUGACUCAGGAGGUGGUGACGCAGUACUACCGCGCACCGGAAAUAUUGAUGGGUGCGAAGCACUACACGGCCGCCGUGGACGUCUGGUCCGUGGGAUGUAUUUUCGGCGAGCUGCUAAGCAGGCGGAUCCUGUUCCAGGCGCAAAAUCCUAUACAACAGCUCGAACUUAUAACCGAACUGCUCGGGACGCCGUCGCUCGAGGACAUGCGGUACGCGUGCGAAGGAGCAAAAACGCACAUGCUGAGAAGGGCACCGAAACCUCCCUCAUUGACCGCACUUUACACCCUCUCGUCUCAGGCGACGCACGAGGUCGUGCAUUUACUCUGCCAGAUGCUCGUCUUUGAUCCCGAUAAAAGGAUAUCAGUCGUGGAUGCUUUGGCGCAUCCUUACUUAGACGAAGGAAGAUUGAGGUAUCAUUCGUGUAUGUGUAAAUGCUGCUAUACUACAGCCAGUGGUAUGAGGCAGUAUACCACGGAAUUUGAAACAACGGCACCUCAGCCUUUCGAUGAUAUGUGGGAGAAGAAGCUGUCGUCUGUACAACAGGUCAAAGAGCAAAUGCACGAGUUCAUAGCCGAGCAACUGAAUACAAGUCGAGUACCAUUGUGUAUAAAUCCUCAGUCGGCAGCAUUCAAGAGUUUCGCCAGGUAAGACGGGAUCGGAGCCCCCCAGAGCAGCGCCAGCGCCAUUGCAUAGGUGACCGCACACUUUACCACUUGGUUUCAACAGUGGCCCAUCCAUCGGAGCUUCCCCCGUCGCCUCAUCAGUGGGACGACAACCGUAGGUAACAACAUGACUACAAGUCACUCUUGCUCUCUGCCAAACUUAAAAGGAAAACCGUGAUAAUUAACGUAGUGUUCAUUUCCGAAAGUAGCAAUUAAUAUUAAUUAAUCAGUUAAUUAAUAAUAAUAAUAAUAAUCUGUAUAUGUUCAGUAACGUCUUCUCUCCUCUGUAAUAUAAAAUAAUAGUAAUUAAUACCUAACUACAUAAAAUUAAGUAACAGUACACCAAAAAUAAUGAUUCAGGGAUCUAAGCUUUGUGUAAGGGACCGUGUUCUAAGUGCUCUGUGACAAAAAGAAAAAAUACAUACACAUACAUACAUAAUUAGGAAUGAUUAACAAAGCGCUGGUGGUGCGGGCAAAAAUAUAGUUAAUUAACUUAUUUUUUUGCGCAGAGUGUUGUCUUAGUACCGUAUAGAUCUGCCGCGAAAUUGUUGUUCGAUUUGUACAGUUCACACUGCCUUUUCGAUAGUGAUAGUUUACGUAUUGUAUGUAUUUACGGUUUUAGUUCGAUAAGACUGUCAGAAUGUGUUUCAGUUAUAUCUUUGUAUUGUUUUUUUUAUGUCGGCGCCGUUUUUGGCACGCAUUUUGCUAAAUUUGCAACGCAAAGUUGUCGCCCCUCGUUGUGCCAAAAUAAUUCACCCCUAAUUCUUUUACCAACGAAAUUUCAGACCUUCAAAAAGUGUAAUCAAAAAAUUUUUCAUUUUUAUUAGACACUAACAGUUGGCUUUUGCGAAAAUAGAAAAGAAUUUAUUUCUUUGGACUGACUAGAGGAUCGUUGUUUAAAAGUUUACUAGAUUAAUUGUGAUAAAAUAAGAAAACGAUAUUUUUUUUCUAAUAAUUUUAAUUUUCAAUUGAUUAGCUUGACACGUACUUGGAACUUCAAAAAUUUCAAUAUUGUGUUAGUAUAUUGGUUGAGAUAUCCUGGGGGGACCCGUUCUCUUCGUCGUUUAUCGCCCAUUGCCUUAAUUAAAAAAGAAAAAAUAAUAAAAACUAAUUUUUUUCUGUAGAUUAAGUGCAAAUUUAAGCAAAAGAAAGUGCCUCAUCCUUUAUUUUAACAGCAAAUUUAAAAAACACUGUGUCCACGUUUUUUGCUGUAUUAUUGAUGUAAAAAGUGUCUAUAACAAGCAAAGUAGUUUUUGGUCGUAAUAUGAAUUAAAUAAGUAAUCGUAAUUCGUGGAGCACAACAGUUUACAUUAAUUAGCAACUUCUGCUAAUAAAAACAAACGGUGUAGUAAUUCUAAACGGUUAGCUUUUCUUGUUCGAUGGCCUAAAAUAUAUUUACGAUGCCAAACGAAGGUGUAAUAACUAAAUAAAAUGAACACUUUCAAAAAAAAAAAACAAAAACAAAAACUGACAUGUUUUAGACUAUAAAUAUUGAUGAUUAGAUAGGACGUAAGAAGACUGUAAAUAUUACGAACUAUUAUUACUAUUAUACAUAAUCUGUUACUUU